AACGAACGCUGGCGGCAGGCUUAACACAUGCAAGUCGAGCGCCUCGCAAGAGGAGCGGCAGACGGGUGAGUAACGCGUGGGGACGUACCCUUAUCUUCGGAAUAGCUCUGGGAAACUGGAAGUAAUACCGAAUGUGCCCUUAGGGGGAAAGAUUUAUCGGGUAAGGAUCGGCCCGCGUUGGAUUAGCGGGUUGGUGGGGUAAAGGCCUACCAAGGCGGCGAUCCAUAGCUGGUCUGAGAGGAUGAUCAGCCACAUUGGGACUGAGACACGGCCCAAACUCCUACGCGAAGGAGGAGUGGGGAAUAUUGGACAAUGGGGGCAAGCGUGAUCCAGCCACGCGGCGUGAGUGAUGAAGGCCUUAGGGUUGUAAAGCUCUUUCACCGGAGAAGAUAAUGACGGUAUCGGGUGAAGAAGCCCCGGCUAACUACGUG
rnacentral:rRNA from 1 species